CAUUGAAUGCACAAUCAGUUGCAUGCUACUAGAACCGAGAAGUGUAAGAGUGAAUUUAUAUGGAAAGCAAAACUUUGUGCUGGUGGAGCUGCUAAGAAGAGUAAGCCUGAUGGAAUUUAUAUAGACAAACAUGGCAAAGUGAGAAGCUUUAAUGCGAAGAAAACUGUCUAGGAAAAAAUGUGGUUCUUUAAGGGGAUGAGUAUGGACAUAUGGUUCUGGGUUUAUAGAUGGAAUUUUCCCAGUGAUGAUUCCCUCUGCUCAGCAGCUUCUGGACAUUCUGCAGAAGGAAGUGGAUCAAAACAGAAUUACCACCAAUUAUGCUCCUCAUUGUAGAUUGCAUAUGCUAAUUGGAUGCAUUUUAUUAUGCAUUAAUUUUUUAUUAUUAGGCUCUUAAUAGUCCAAUACCAACGUAUAGCUAAGAAGUUAGUAUAAAUAUAUAAAUGCAUAUACAGAUUGCAGAUAAAGGGUGGAACUAGAGGGGCUUCAGUGAUCACCUAAGGCACAUAGCAGUGGGUGAUGGUUAAGGUGGCGUUCUUGUCAAGAAUCUCUACUUGUCAUGAGGCCCCUUUCAGCGAAAUCUCAUGCAAUGCAUCUCUGAUUCUGCAGGCAUUGACUUACCAUUCUAUACCGCUGACUCUGUAUGCCUGGUAUGACUGCUUAUGUUGGAUUCUACUAAGUUUGUAAUCCUAAGAGAGGAGAAAAUGUUUUCGUAUCAGCUGCAUCAAGUGCAGUAGGCCUGCCCGUUGGCCAAUUUGCUAAAUUGUCUGGUUGUUAUG